rnacentral:rRNA from 1 species
UACAGAGGGUGCAAGCGUUAAUCGGAAUUACUGGGCGUAAAGCGUGCGUAGACGGUUACAUAAGUCAGAUGUGAAAGCCCCGGGCUCAACCUGGGAAUUGCAUUUGAGACUGUGUAGCUAGGGUGCGGAAGAGGGAAGCGGAAUUUCCGGUGUAGCGGUGAAAUGCGUAGAUAUCGGAAGGAACACCAGUGGCGAAAGCGGCUUCCUGGUCCAGCACCGACGUCAGGCACGAAAGCGUGGGGAGCAAACAGG